UAUAAUUAUCUAUCCAAUGACAUAGAGAUAAUAAUCGAAACCCUUAUGAAAUCCGAUGUCAUUAUUAAUUUCUUCAAGAGCAUUUUUGUAGUAAUUUAUCUCCUCUUCUAGUCUUGCAAUGUAAGUUUUCAAGUUAUUUGAAUUAAGUAAACAUACCUUACUUGAAGAAAACUCAAAAUUCAGCUCUAAGGAGUUUCGAACGGACUUCAAAAUCAAAUGCAGGAUGUCAAAAUUGGCAAGGAAAGAAAUUGUUGAAAUUUUGCAAACAUGGCAGUGCAUUCUAGCGAUGAUGUGGCAUAGUUGCUAGAAUAGGAUCCUGUGUACACAAGUGUAGAGGAGUGAGCUUAGAUGGGUGGAGAAGCAGGGUUAGAUGACCCGACCCGAAAGAUUCUCUCCGUUGAGCAUCAGUUGGGUUUUUCCAACACCGAAAAUUGGUGGAUUGGCAGAUUUCGACCGACGAGGAAGGUUCCAGGUGUCGGAAUUUGAAUGAAUUAAGGCAUGUUGAGAUUCAGAUCGAAAUGCAACCCAUAUGGAUCUUCAAUUGUGGGUGACUUCCGGUGAUUGAAAUGGUUGCUCCGGGGUCGCCUAUGGCUCACUAAUCGAUGGGUGGUGGUGGCGUUUGGAUUUGAUGGCCGAAUGGUUAUGGGUCUUAGUGAUUGGUAGGUGCCGGCGUUGGGACUCCUUCAAAGACUUUUUUGUG
rnacentral:misc_RNA from 1 species